AUUGAACGCUGGCGGCAUGCCUAACACAUGCAAGUCGAACGAGGUGUAGCAAUACAUCUAGUGGCGGACGGGUGAGGAAUACGUAGGAAUUUGCCUUAGAGCGGGGGAUAGCCCAGGGAAACUUGGAGUAAUACCGCAUGAUGUCGAAAGACCAAAGCAGGGGACCGCAAGGCCUUGCACUCUGAGAGAAGCCUACGUCU
rnacentral:rRNA from 1 species